AAGGAAUAUUGGACAAUGGGCGGAAGCCUGAUCCAGCCAUCCCGCGUGUUUGAUGAAGGCCCUCUGGGUCGUAAAGAACUUUAGACUGGGAAGAAACCACUUGAUGAGUCAGGUGUUGACGGUACCAGUAGAAUAAGCACCGGCUAACUCCGUGCCAGCAGCCGCGGUAAUACGGAGGGUGCAAGCGUUAUCCGGAAUCACUGGGUUUAAAGGGUGCGUAGGCGGCUGAGUCAGUCAGGGGUGAAAGCCCGCAGCUUAACUGCGGAACUGCCUUUGAUACUGCUUAGCUUGAAAGAGGUUGAGGUCAGCGGAACGUGACAUGUAGCGGUGAAAUGCAUAGAUAUGUCACAGAACACCAAUUGCGAAGGCAGCUGGCUGGGCCUACUUUGACGCUGAGGCACGAAAGCGUGGGGAGCGAAC
rnacentral:rRNA from 1 species